rnacentral:sRNA from 1 species
GUGAUGAUGUGUCAUUCAUAUGGA